AGCGGGGUAGACUAUUGGUAAGGUCAGGAGUCUCAUAAGCUCCGAACUGCAGGUUCGAUUCCCGCCCCCGCUA
rnacentral:tRNA from 1 species